CCUUCGGUUCGGAAUAACUCAGGGAAACUUGAGCUAAUACCGGAUACGCCCUUUUGGGGAAAGGUUUACUGCCGAAGGAUCGGCCCGCGUCUGAUUAGCUUGUUGGUGGGGUAACGGCCUACCAAGGCGACGAUCAGUAGCUGGUCUGAGAGGAUGAUCAGCCACACUGGGACUGAGACACGGCCCAGACUCCUACGGGAGGCAGCAGUGGGGAAUAUUGGACAAUGGGCGCAAGCCUGAUCCAGCCAUGCCGCGUGAGUGAUGAAGGCCUUAGGGUUGUAAAGCUCUUUUGUCCGGGACGAUAAUGACGGUACCGGAAGAAUAAGCCCCGGCUAACUUCGUGCCAGCAGCCGCGGUAAUACGAAGGGGGCUAGCGUUGCUCGGAAUCACUGGGCGUAAAGGGCGCGUAGGCGGCCGAUUAAGUCGGGGGUGAAAGCCUGUGGCUCAACCACAGAAUUGCCUUC
rnacentral:rRNA from 1 species